rnacentral:tRNA from 1 species
GGGGGAAUAGCUCAGUUGGUAGAGCGCUGCCCUUGCAAGGCAGAGGCCGUGGGUUCAAAUCCCGCUUCCUCCACCA